UAGGGAAUCUUCCGCAAUGGACGCAAGUCUGACGGAGCAACGCCGCGUGAGUGAAGAAGGAUCUCGGUUCGUAAAACUCUGUUGUUAGAGAAGAACAGCGCAUAGAGUAACUGUUAUGCGUGUGACGGUAUCUAACCAGAAAGCCACGGCUAACUACGUGCCAGCAGCCGCGGUAAUACGUAGGUGGCAAGCGUUGUCCGGAUUUAUUGGGCGUAAAGCGAGCGCAGGCGGUCAAUUAAGUCUGAUGUGAAAGCCCCCGGCUAAACCGGGGAGGGUCAUUGGAAACUGGUUGACUUGAGUGCAGAAGAGGAGAGUGGAAUUCCAUGUGUAGCGGUGAAAUGCGUAGAUAUAUGGGGGAACACCGGUGGCGAAGGCGGCUAUCUGGUCUGUAACUGACGCUGAGGCUCGAAAGCGUGGGGAGCAAACAGG
rnacentral:rRNA from 1 species